rnacentral:rRNA from 1 species
GUAAAAUAAAACCCCUGCCUUAUCCUCUCGUGCCCACUCCCUCUGUCUCUCCACGACCCCGCCCAUCCCGCAACCUCCGAUGUGGCGCCGCGCAGCUACCCUCCCCGCGCCGCCGAACCGCCACCUACCCUGCUCCCCCGCGCCGCCAACCUCCCCUGCGGCCACCACCGCACUCCUACCCCGCGCCGCUCCGCGCCAUCUACACCCGCGCCACCGCGCCACCACCCUCCCCCGCGGCCACCAACAAACCCCUCCCCGGCGCCGGAUCCGGCGGGAUCCGCACUGCCCCGCGCUGAUCUCAGUGGACAACGAUGGAGGGCGGCGGCACCUGGACAGCAGCGACGGCGGCGGCCUCCACCAGCCACCACGGUGGAGGGCCAACGCGGCAGAGGGCCACACCGACCUUCGCCUCGCCUCGAUCUAUAGGGCGCGGCGCCCUUCCCCUCCCCUCGAAGUUUUGGGGCGCCAACGACCUAGCACGGGACCCGCCGCCACCCCGCCCGACAUCGCAUUCCUCACCUCGGCUAGCCGGAGGGCCUCUGCUCCUCUAUCCAGCGCCGACCAUGGAGUUGACGGGGCCAGUUCGCCCCCGCGCCGCGUGUGAUUCGGCGAUGCCCUCACCACACCGUGACAUCCACCUCCCCUUCUCUUCGGCCGCCAUGGCGACCUGCAGUGGGCCUCGACAGCGACCUUGGUGGGGAGGGCGGCAGCGUUCCCGGGCUCAUGCAACUACUGCCCCCAAUCCCAUCCAGCUCCCCUCGUCCUCGCCCCCGAGCAGCAGCGCGGUGGUUGCCGCUAGACCCCUCCGCGUGCAGUUCUCUUGCCACGGAGUCGCGGUAGCGGCAGGGCAUCGACCACCAGGACUGCAUCCUACCACCACGACGUCUUUCGCAAUCCCUCCUCAUUCCAACAACGGCAGCGAGGUGCUCCACCACGAGUCCGGGGCAAGGACAGGCUCUGCCGCGCCGGGAACGAGGGAUUCCGCACCGGGAGCAAUUCGCCAGGGAUGGGAGAACCACUCCAGGUGAUGCCGUUUGCGAGAUCCUGGAUGUGGCAUUGCAGUGCAUCUGGAUCUCUCUAGCAGUGCGCUGCUUGUCCUCGUGUGGUUCAUCCACGGGCGCCAGGGAUCACCUCCCACCUCCAAUCUUUCCCCUCUCCACCCCAGCCCGCAUGCAGUUCAGUCGAUGCGUUCGUGCUGUGCGGAGCGCAUCUGCGUGCAGUCGGCCGGCCGGCGGUGUGGAGCGCAUGUGUGUAGUACCCACGGUGAUGUUCACCGCUGCGUGGUGCUUCAGUGCAGUUUGCAGUUUUCAGAGGAGUUCACUUUUAUUAUUUUUGGAGGAAUUGUUUUUCCAAAUUUGUAUGGACAUGGU